UACGGGGGGGGCAAGCGUUGUUCGGAAUUACUGGGCGUAAAGGGUUCGUAGGUGGCUUGCUAAGUCAGACGUGAAAUCCCUCAGCUUAACUGGGGAACUGCGUCUGAGACUGGCAAGCUCGAGUGCAGGAGAGGAACGCAGAAUUCCAGGUGUAGCGGUGAAAUGCGUAGAUAUCUGGAGGAAUACCGGUGGCGAAGGCGGCGUUCUGGACUGCAACUGACACUGGGUGAACGAAAGCCAGGGGAGCAAACGGG
rnacentral:rRNA from 1 species